rnacentral:lncRNA from 10 species
CUACAACGCGGAUUUAUUCUUAUUUCCCACAGGGAAGGCCUAACAAGGCUUGACCAAUCAGUGAAGGGCAUUCCCCAGACUGCUGGCUGUGACUGGGUCCCAGAUAAGCACGUGACCCACUAUGGGCCAAUGAAAGUCGCCUGAGACUUUUGCUUGCAUGGUUGCUGGGACGGUCCAAAGUCCUCAGUGGGGACGGCUGGCUGCAGCUGUCAGACUUGGAGCGUGAGGACAGAGCUGGGCCGGUUCCUCCCUGGGAUCUCCCCUCCCCGAGCACAGGCUCUGCUCUGCCCAGCCCCAUGCUGUCCCCUGUGCGACCGCUGUGGGCUUCCUGCCAGGCUCCUGCACCCUCCGGCUUCUGUUGGGUUCAGUUCUGGGAGGCAGCCCCGGAGUCUGGAGGGUGGAAGGAGUGAGGGGCAUCCCCUGUCCCCUCCCCACAGUCUUGGCAGUGGUUUCUUCUCUCCAGAGUUACUGUCCCUACCCCCUGUCCUCUCUCUGCAGCUCCAGCUCUUGCUGGGCGCCUGUGAUUCUCACCCCUGUCCCUUCAGGCCGUGGGGAGAAGAACAUCCCAGUGCGGUCACUUCCUGGAUCCAAUUCCUGGAUGCCCAGUGUCCGCCGGGUCUCCUGGAUUCACCGUGGUCACUGCCUGGAUGCCCAGUGUCCACUGGGUCUCCUGGAUCCAAUUCCUGGAUGCCCAGUGUCCGCCAGGUCUCCUGGAUUCACUGUGGUCCCUGCCUGGAUGCCCAGUGUCCUCCAGGUCUCCUGGAUUCACUUCCUGAAUGCCCAGUGUCUGCUAGGUCUCCUGGAUCCACUUCCUGGAUGCCCAGUGUCUGCCAAAUCUCCUGAAUUCACUUCCUGGAUGCCCAGUGUCCACCAGGUCUCCUGGAUUCUGCCUGUGUCCACGUGAGGGCACCAUCAAUUUCCUGCAAGGAUCCUGACAGUCAAGGAUGGCCAGCAGUAAGGGGUUUCGU